rnacentral:rRNA from 1 species
AGAGUUUGAUCCUGGCUCAGGAUGAACGCUAGCGACAGGCCUAACACAUGCAAGUCGAGGGGCAACGGGGAUGUUAGCUUGCUAAUAUCUGCCGGCGACCGGCGCACGGGUGAGUAACGCGUAUGCGACCUGCCCGUCACAGGGGGAUAAUCCGGAGAAAUCCGGUCUAAUACCGCAUGAUAUCGUGAAGCUGCAUGGCUUUGCGAUUAAAGGAGCGAUCCGGUGACGGAUGGGCAUGCGUGACAUUAGCUAGUCGGCGGGGUAACGGCCCACCGAGGCGACGAUGUCUAGGGGUUCUGAGAGGAAGGUCCCCCACACUGGUACUGAGACACGGACCAGACUCCUACGGGAGGCAGCAGUGAGGAAUAUUGGUCAAUGGGCUUACGCCUGAACCAGCCAAGUCGCGUGAGGGAAGACUGCCCUAUGGGUUGUAAACCUCUUUUGUCAGGGAGCAAUUGGCGCUACGUGUAGCGUUAUCGAGAGUACCUGAAGAAAAAGCAUCGGCUAACUCCGUGCCAGCAGCCGCGGU